GACGAACGCUGGCGGCGUGCUUAACACAUGCAAGUCGAACGAAGUGGCGAACGGGUGAGUAACGCGUAAUCAACCUGCCCUUCAGAGGGGGACAACAGUUGGAAAAGACUGCUAAUACAGCAUACUGAAGGAGGGGAUUUCGUCUGAUUAGCUAGUUGGAGGGGUAACGGCCCACAAAGGCGCUGAUUAGUAGCAGGUCUGAGAGGAUGAACGGCCACAUUGGGACUGAGAAACAGCCCAGACUCAUACGGGAGGCAGCAGUGGGGAAUCUGCCGAAAUGGACGAAAGUCUGACGGAGCAACGCCGCGUGCGUGAUGACGGCCUUCGGGUUGUCAAGCUCUGUUAAUCGGGACGCGGUACCGGAAUAGAAAGCCACGGCUAACUACGUGCCAGCAGCCGUGGUAAUAC
rnacentral:rRNA from 1 species